rnacentral:rRNA from 1 species
UCAGGGGGAUAACCGGUGGAAACGCCGACUAAUACCCCAUAGUAUCACUUCAAGGCAUCUUUUAGUGAUUAAAGAAUUUCGGAUAAGGAUAGGCUCGCGUGACAUUAGCUAGACGGCGGGGUAACGGCCCACCGUGGCUACGAUGUCUAGGGGUUCUGAGAGGAAGGUCCCCCCACACUGGAACUGAGACACGGUCCAGACUCCUACGGGAGGCAGCAGUGAGGAAUAUUGGUCAAUGGUCUGACGACUGAACCAGCCAUGCCGCGUGAAGGUCACGGCCCUAUGGGUCUUAAACUUCUUUUGCGAGGGAGCAAUAAGGUCUACGUGUAGACUGAUGAGAGUACCUUGCGAAUAAGCAUCGGCUAACUCCGUG